GUCGAACGAAGCAUUUGCGACAGAUUUCUUCGGAUUGAAGUUGCUUAUGACUGAGUGGCGGACGGGUGAGUAACGCGUGGGUAACCUGCCUCACACAGGGGGAUAGCAGUUGGAAACGGCUGAUAAUACCGCAUAAGCGCACAGUACCGCAUGGUACAGUGUGAAAAACUCCGGUGGUGUGAGAUGGACCCGCGUCUGAUUAGCUAGUUGGCGGGGUAACGGCCCACCAAGGCAACGAUCAGUAGCCGGCCUGAGAGGGCGACCGGCCACAUUGGGACUGAGACACGGCCCAAACUCCUACGGGAGGCAGCAGUGGGGAAUAUUGCACAAUGGGGGAAACCCUGAUGCAGCGACGCCGCGUGAGCGAAGAAGUAUUUCGGUAUGUAAAGCUCUAUCAGCAGGGAAGAUAAUGACGGUACCUGACUAAGAAGCCCCGGCUAACUACGUGCCAGCAGCCGCGGUAAUACGUAGGGGGCAAGCGUUAUCCGGAUUUACUGGGUGUAAAGGGAGCGUAGACGGCAAGGCAAGUCUGAUGUGAAAACCCAGGGCUUAACCUUGGGACUGCAUUGGAAACUGUCUGGCUCGAGUGCCGGAGAGGCAAGUGGAAUUCCUAGUGUAGCGGUGAAAUGCGUAGAUAUUAGGAGGAACACCAGUGGCGAAGGCGGCUUGCUGGACUGUAACUGACACUGAGGCUCGAAAGCGUGGGGAGCAAACAGG
rnacentral:rRNA from 1 species